UGCCAUAAUUGUAUUCAUGGUAAUACAAAGAAGCGAUUUAAUGUAUUUGAACAAAUUACACAAAAUUUGUUCGACAAAUGUUUGGCAAAUAGCAAGCAACAAAAAUUUUGAGAGAACGAAAUUACGGUGGAGGCAUUAUUUUGUGCACUCUGCGUUAUUGCCUUCAUUGUUAGUCUUACGAAAUGUUUACUAAUUUUGCUGUCAUCCUCGCGUUUGCGUAAUUUUGUUUUACCGGUCAGAACAUUAUUGCAGUGUGAUAAAUGAAAAGAAGAGAAGAACCAGGAACAAAAUUCGUUUUGUGCAAUCGUAAAAAAAAAAACUCCUUUAAUUCUUCUUAUUAACAACACCUUACGUUAAUUAUCGUGCGUGCAUUUAAAAUUGCAGUUAAAAGGCUUAAGAAAAAUAUAUGGAGAGUAAUCUGCUAUCGGUAUGUGCCGUAGUCUUCAUUCUUUCGCCCUUCAAAUUUCUGUGCACGUUGAUUGAAAUUCAUGAUAUAAUCUUACGGGAUGAACGCAGCUUGCGCUAAUGGGCGCUUCGCUAGGCGAGCAGAUAUUCAACAUGGCUGCUUACGGCAAAUGGGCAUAUUUUAAAGAAAUGAAAACUUCGUACGAGAAAGAAAGCAAAAGUAAAUGUACCUACGGCUUGAUAAGAACAUGCACUAGGAGACCGUAACCUGAAGUGCGAAAAAUUUAAAUUCAAUAUAUCCUGAGAGUCUAAGAGGAGUUAUCUGAAACAUUUCGUAGUUUCACAUAAAACAGUUGAACAGUCAUUGCCGUGAAAAGUAUAUAUCUGCAACUUCAUUAACACUAUAAAUUGUUUGCCCACAUUUAUAAAAUUGCUCGUGGAAUUCAGAAGCAGACAUUUUUUGGACCAAGCAGACGGUUUAACUGAUUAUUUAAGAAUUAUCGACAAACAGCUAACAUGGCAGUUCGUUUCAUUCAUAAAAUUCGCAAAUACUCUGCAGCCCUCUGCUCAUUGACAACAGGGGAUUUUAUGUGUAAUAAUGUACAAUUACAUAUAACCAACAAUGUUUAUUCGGAGAUCCGGCGAAAUAUGUCUUCGCAAUCCUUCCUUGCGACUUUAAGGUAAUCUUUUUUCAGUCUCUAUUUCACGAAAAUAAUUCUAAACCUAUGUUGAUUAAAUAUUAACCCAAUUAAAUGAAAUUCGAUAGUUUUUAAGAAGUUGCUCAAGUAGAGUUAAUUAUGAAAAUUUGAUAGAAGUACGUCGAAAUAUUUAUAUGUAAUUAUCAUAUACCAUAAUAAUUGUCUCACAUGUUGCAAUGAGCAAAUUAAGCAAUUGUUUACUAAUUAGUAUGUAAUGUACUUACGGUGAUUUGAACAAACCAAGAGAUAAAAGUGUCAUGCAAUUAUAAAUGAACGUUUUCUAGUACAUAAGUAAUAGAUGAAAUUUAAGAGAGUCAUUCGUUAUUAGGAUUAAGUAAAGAUUUAUAAUCUUAUAUGGAAAGGGGCAUGUUAUAAAUUAGUCACGAAGAUUUUUUUUGCCCCGUGUUCGACGACAGAUGAGGAAAAGUUGAAGAAUUUGCUUUUAAUUCGUAAAACUAACGCGGCUAGAUUUUUUUUUUAUAUACUUUGGUAGUGUUACCUCAUACUGGUGUUUUCAGAUGCCAACAUUUGCGAGAAGUAGUAAUAUUAAAGCAUUCACGUUGUACGUUAAUUGGUCCUAGCAUUUAAACUAUGAGAGAAGAUGUGCUUUCGUUAUAGGUCUAUUAUUGCGGUGUUAAGUUUUUAAUACCCACGAAAUUCCAUACAAAAUUGGUCGCUGUGUUGCAAAGUCUCGGGGUAUAUGUCUUGCGUGAUACCGCAUAUCUUUUUCUCUAGAAUUAUCAGACUAUUUUCCAAGCUCCCAUUAAAUUUAGCUUCGAACUUUGAGAAACCAUUUUUAAUUUGUAAGAUAAUGCCUUCUCUAUCCUAGCCUUAUCGCAACUAGUGCAAGUACAUUUAAAGGUGGUGUUUUUGGCGUAGACAAAAAAUUUGUUGUCCAAAACACCGGCACAACAAAAGGUCAGUUUACAAACAGCGCAGUUCACGCCAUUUUAGCCCACGGCUAAAGCUUAAACGCAUGGAACACAACGACUCUCCGAUGGGACUACGAUUAAUAAAAAUAAGAUAUGUUGAAUAAAUGCAUCAGCACAUAUACUACACCUGUCAGAACUGUCAGAACUACUAAUUAAAGAAGUUCUAUCCCUAGAGAGAUGUGGUAUUAGAAUCAAUUUUUUCUUCAAGACGUGUUAAUGUCAAUUGUUCACACGUCUCUUAAAUAUUUAAUCUUAAA